rnacentral:rRNA from 1 species
AGUGAACGCUGGCGGUAGGCCUAACACAUGCAAGUCGAACGGCAGCACAGUAAGAGCUUGCUCUUACGGGUGGCGAGUGGCGGACGGGUGAGGAAUACAUCGGAAUCUACUUUUUCGUGGGGGAUAACGUAGGGAAACUUACGCUAAUACCGCAUACGACCUACGGGUGAAAGCAGGGGAUCUUCGGACCUUGCGCGAUUGAAUGAGCCGAUGUCGGAUUAGCUAGUUGGCGGGGUAAAGGCCCACCAAGGCGACGAUCCGUAGCUGGUCUGAGAGGAUGAUCAGCCACACUGGAACUAAGACACGGUCCAGACUCCUACGGGAGGCAGCAGUGGGGAAUAUUGGACAAUGGGCGCAAGCCUGAUCCAGCCAUACCGCGUGAGUGAAGAAGGCCUUCGGGUUGUAAAGCCCUUUUGUUAGGAAAGAAAAGCAGCAGAUUAAUACCCCGCUGUUCUGACGGUACCCAAAGAAUAAGCACCGGCUAACUUCGUG